GGCACUGUGGCGGAGUGGUUAACGCGACAGAUUCGAAUUUUCACUUAUCUUAUCUGUUCCUCUUGUAGGGCGCAUGUUCGAAUCAUGCCAGUGUCG